UGAAAUCCAAAUUGCAAUAGAAUUUGUUUUCAAGUUUUUGAAUUAUAAUGUUUCAGAAUUUGGGUUGUUUAAUCACAAUUCAAUUACAUAGACAUUGAUUUCGUUACAAAUUUGAAAAAGUACAAACCUUCAUUCUUUUUUAUCAGGAUGUAAAACACAUGCAAGUAGCAUCACUGAAAAAAAUCCUAAUGUCAUAACCAAUAAGUGUGCCUAUUUUCCUCAUAUGUGUUUUGUCCUUUAUUUCUUCCCAGGUAUCUCCUCUUAAUUGAUGAUAUAUGGUCUGCAAAGACAUGGGAGAGCAUCAGAAUUUGUUUGCCAGAAGAGAAUAAUAGAGGCAGUAGAAUAAUAGUGACUUCAAGGUUUCAAGCUGUUGGUGCUACGUGCUCCCCAAAUGAUAAAAUUGACCUUCUGCAUACAGCUGAUUUUCUCACUGGUGAUGAGUCCAAGAGAUUAUUCGUUCAAGGUGUUUCUGAAUCCAAAAGCAGCAAAAAUAAUGAGAUAGUUCAGAACCAUGUCCCUGAAGAGAUUUGGAAAAUUUGUGGGGGCUUGCCUUUGGCCAUAGUCACCAUGGCUGGCCUAGUUGCCUGCAACCCAAGCAAACACAGUGAUGAUUGGAAAAAAGUCUGCAAAUCAUUAUUUCCAGAACCUGUGACUUCUCUUACUUUAGAUGGGGUUACAAGGAUACUUGACUGUUGCUACAAUGAUUUGCCUGCAGAUCUCAAGACCUGUUCAUUGUACUUGAGCAUAUUUCCAAAGGGUUGGAAAAUUAGCAGGAAGCGGUUGACCCGGCGAUGGAUAGCUGAAGGUUUUGUUAGUGAGAAACAAGGGUUGACAGAGGAGGAAGUUGCAGAGACAUAUUUUAAUCAGCUCACAAGAAGAAAGAUAAUACGUCCUGUGGAGCACGGUAGCAAUGGGAAAGUAAAAACCUUUCAAGUUCAUGACAUGGUCCUUGAAUAUAUUGUGUCCAAGUCGAAUGAAGAGAAUUUUAUUACUGUAGUAGGUGGCCACUGGAUGAUGCCAGCACCUAGCAAUAAAGUCCGUCGACUUUCAAUGCAGAGCAGUGGUUCCAAGUCAGGAAAUUCAACAAAAGGUAUGAACUUGUCUCAGGUUCGAUCACUGACCAUUUUUGGGAGCCUGAACCAAUUGCCAUUUCAUUCAUUCAAUAAUGCAAUAAUACAAGUGCUCGAUCUUGAGGGCUGGAAGGGGUUGAAAGAGAAACAUCUGAAGGACAUAUGUAACAUGCUUGUCCUGAAGUAUUUGGGCCUUCGACGGACAGAGAUUGCCAAAAUUCCCUCGAAGAUUGAAAAGCUUGAGUAUUUGGAAGCUCUUGACAUCAGAGAGACAAAUGUUAGGGAGCUUCCCAAGGCUGUAGGGCAGCUAAAACGAAUCAGUAGCAUACUUGGUGGAAAUAAAAACCCAAGGAAGGGGUUGAGGCUGUCUCAAGAAAAAAGUAAAGACCCAAGGAAAAGUAUGUUGCCACAGGAAAAAAGUAAGGAUGGAAUGAAAGCACUCCGUGUACUGUCUGGAAUUGAGAUCAUUGGCGAAUCAACAGCUGUAGCAGGCCUUCAUCAGUUGACUGGAUUAAGGAAGUUUGCCAUCUAUAAGCUUAGCAUAAAUAAGGAUGGUGACACAUUCAAAGAGUUACGCUCCUCUAUUGAGUACCUUGGCAGCUGUGGAUUGCAAACUCUGGCAAUAAAUGAUGAAGGUUCUGAUUUUAUCAACUCCUUGGACACCAUGUCUGCACCUCCAAGAUACCUUAUUGCCCUUGAGCUGUCCGGAAUGUUAGAAAGGCCCCCACAGUGGAUGAGUAAACUGCAUAUGCUGAACAAGUUAACCCUGUCGUUAACAGUUCUCCGGACUGACACUUUGGAGCUCAUCUGCGCCCUGCCGUCAUUGUUUUCUCUCACCUUUUCUCUGAAUGCAGUGAAUCUUGACGAGGACACACAGGAGAUCCUCGAGAAGAACAAAGAACAGUCUGAUGGGGAGAUAUUUGUCCCUGGUGGAUUCCCAAGUCUGAAGCUGCUCCGCUUCUUUGCCCCUCUUGUGCCAAAGCUAGGUUUCAGCGACAAUGCGAUGCCAUCGCUGGAGAUGAUUGAUAUGAGGUUUUGUGCCUUUGAAGGUUUGCUCGGCAUUGACACCCUAGAAAAUCUCAAAGAGGUGCAUCUCAGAGUUAAUGACCAAGCAGAUGAAGCAACCAAGUUCUUUGUUGAUGAUCUGAAGAAUAAUGGCCAUGGACUGAAGGUAAUUGUUGAUCAUGUCGUCACUGCUUGAAAUGGCAAGAUAUUGGUGCCGCCCAGAGCUCUUUCCAAUUCACUGACACAUGCUCUGUUGAUUUGGAGUGGGUAGUUUCUUAUUACCAAAUAUAUGAUAUUCAUGUUUGAUAAAUAAAUAAAUAAAUAGGGAUGGACAAAGUAUGCAUUCACAUCCCAUGGUAUUGUGCUCCGCUGCUGGAAUUUAUUUGGUUUUCCCCUUUAUGUUUGGAUGGUGUGCAAUUAAGGUGAAACAUUGUUCGUUCUAAUGACAUUAUGUCUUCUUACAAAGGGGACACACCUCCCUAAAGAACCCACUGUUUUCCUUUCAUCCAUGGCUCCAUUGGUGAUAUAUUCUUGUGUGGUACAUAUUAUAUAAAUCUCAGGAAGUUUUAGCACAUAUUGUGAAUCUGUGACGAAAUGUUGGUGGUCUGAAUGGACGCUUGGCUUGCCAAGUGAAACAAGAUGCAGCAGCUAGACUCGAUGCAUAUAUAAUAAGAAAACUAAUGGAAUGUACAUCAUGCCGCUCAUCGCUGAAAGAAAAACAGCAUGUCGUUUUAUUGUUUAUAUUCGUGUGAAACUAAUGCCAAAACGACAGAUGAGUUGAAGAAAAACGGUGUCUAAAAUAAGAACAGGGCAUAUGACAGGGCAGCAUUCACAGACGCAUAAAUAGGCGUUACCUGGAUUUGAUGUGGCGCGGGGCGGCGGAUUGGGAGAGGGAGUAGAGCCCGGCGGGGAGGAAUCUCAUGGUGCCGGCGACGACGACGGCACGGCGCCGCCAUAGCUGCUCCUCUCACCGGAUCACAGUCGCGGCUCUGUUAACGGGCCCACAAGGGUCAAGAUCAGACGUGGUCGGGCCGUCCCAACACUUGCGCGAGGAGCCGACCACGUCCGAU
rnacentral:lncRNA from 1 species